ACCCUUCUGUAGUUCAUAAGUGUGAUGAUUGGGUAUUCAUGCUCAUGUGUGAGAAGUCCUUUCCUCAAACCUUGCUAUGACAUCAGCACAUUACCUGUCUGAUG